rnacentral:rRNA from 1 species
GAUGAACGCUGGCGGCGUGCCUAAUACAUGCAAGUCGAGCGAACAGACGAGGAGCUUGCUCCUCUGACGUUAGCGGCGGACGGGUGAGUAACACGUGGAUAACCUACCUAUAAGACUGGGAUAACUUCGGGAAACCGGAGCUAAUACCGGAUAAUAUAUUGAACCGCAUGGUUCAAUAGUGAAAGACGGUUUUGCUGUCACUUAUAGAUGUAUCCGCUCCGCAUUAGCUAGUUGGUAUGGUAACGGCUUACCAAGGCAACGAUGCGUAGCCGACCUGAGAGGGGGAUGGGCCACACUGGAACUGAAACACGGUCCAGACUCCUACGGAAGGCAGAAGUAGGGAAUCUACCGAAAUGGGCGGAAGCUUGACGGAGCAACGCCGCGUGAGUGAUGAGGGGCUUCGGAUCGUAAAACUCUGUUAUUAGGGAAGAACAAAUGUGUAAGUAACUAUGCACGUCUUGACGGUACCUAAUCAGAAAGCCACGGCUAACUACGUG